rnacentral:lncRNA from 1 species
GAUAGAGGCAUCUGUGCUAGGCAAAGGGGCCCCAACACAGCCCCUAGUGUGCAGAAGUGAAUGCCCUCCACAGCUGGAAAACCCACACCCUUUCACUGUGGUUCUUUCAUGCUCCUUGGCCCUGGGAAAGGAAGGCUCAGUACUCCCCCACCCCCCUAGUGAGGACAGAAGUGGCACUGGAAACCUGCACCAAGCCAUCUUGCUCUCUUCUGCUAGCUCACUUCCUCCUACCCCACUGCCCCUAAUCUUUUCAUCUCUUUUCGGCUCCCUGGUCUAGUUCUGUCCGGUGUCCCCUCUGCAGGCGCAGGGUCAAGAACCUGAUGCAGGAAGUGCCCGUGUGGGACAGAGCCCAAAGUCUGGGUACUGAGGAGGGGACAGGGAUGUCCCCAUAAGUUGGAUUCCACAACUCACAGGCCAGCCCAAAACGAAGAAAGUAAGGCAGGAGCUCGGCCUGGAUGAUAAGAAAGAGUAGUGGGGACUGCACCUGCCAUCCUGAAGGCGCUGGGGAGCAAGGCAGGACCUGGGCAGUGGUCAGAGCCUUUAAAAGCCGGGGGCCGGCAGGCCGCAGCGCGCUCCUCCUGCAUCUGGUGGGACCACGUCCUCCAGCUGCCAGGGCCACCAGGACCCCGCAGAAUCAUCAUUCCCAUCGCUGAGGUAGAGGGAUCCUCCCGUGUCCCACUUCCUCUGUGGAGGUGGCACUGGGGACCUACACCUAGCCAUCUCUCCCUCCUGCAGUCUCGCUCCCGCCCACGCCUGCCCUAACUUGUUCUUCUCUUUUCUGCUCCCUGGGCUACCUGGGUCCCUUGGCUCCCACCACAGGCUCAAGGUCAAGAACCUGCUGCGGGGAAGUGAACCAGUGGGAAGGAGCCCCUAAGGGAAGUCUGGAGACUGAGGAGGGCACGAAGGUGGGCUUCCUGUCAUUUUUUUUUUUUUAAAUAACUUCGUCUUAUUGUUCUUUUUUUUUUAAGAGAGAGAGAGAGAAUUUUUUAAUAUUUAUUUAUUUUUC